rnacentral:rRNA from 1 species
AAUCAACGCUGGCGGCGUGCCUCAGACAUGCAAGUCGAACGCUGCUGUUCGCCUUCGGGUGGACAGCGGAGUGGCGCACGGGUGAGUAACACGUAGGUAAUCUACCUUUGGGUGGGGAAUAACAGCCGGAAACGGCUGCUAAUACCGCAUAAUGCAGCGGCAUCACAUGAUGACAGUUGUUAAAGCGAGGGAUCGUAAGACCUCGCGCCUGAAGAGGAGCCUGCGGCAGAUUAGGUAGUUGGUGAGGUAGUGGCUCACCAAGCCUGCGAUCUGUAACCGGCCUGAGAGGGCGGUCGGUCACACUGACACUGACAUACGGGUCAGACUCCUACGGGAGGCAGCAGUCGGG